CAGCAGCCGCGGUAAUACGAAGGGGGCUAGCGUUGCUCGGAAUGACUGGGCGUAAAGGGCGCGUAGGCGGCUGACACAGUCAGAUGUGAAAUUCCUGGGCUCAACCUGGGGACUGCAUUUGAGACGUGUUGGCUUGAGUGGAGAAGAGGGUCGUGGAAUUUCCAGUGUAGAGGUGAAAUUCGUAGAUAUUGGAAAGAACACCGGUGGCGAAGGCGGCGACCUAGUCUUUAACUGACGCUGAGGCGCGAAAGCGUGGGGAGCAAACAGGAUUAGAUACCCCAGUAGUCCCUGUCUCUUAUAC
rnacentral:rRNA from 1 species